rnacentral:rRNA from 1 species
UGGGGAAUAUUGCACAAUGGAGGGAACUCUGAUGCAGCGACGCCGCGUGAGUGAUGAAGGAAUUCGUUUCGUAAAACUCUGUUCUAUGGGAAGAAAAGGACUGUACCAUAGGAGAAAGCUCCGGCUAAAUACGUGCCAGCAGCCGCGGUAAUACGUAUGGAGCGAGCGUUGUCCGGAAUUAUUGGGCGUAAAGGGUGCGCAGGCGGCUUUACAAGUUGAAUGUGAAAUAUUGUGGCUCAACCACAAACGUGCAUCCAAAACUGCAAAGCUUGAGUUAAGGAGAGGUAAGUGGAAUUCCUGGUGUAGCGGUGGAAUGCGUAGAUAUCAGGAGGAAUACCGGUGGCGAAGGCGACUUACUGGACUUAAACUGACGCUCAGGCACGAAAGCGUGGGGAGCAAACAGG